rnacentral:rRNA from 1 species
GACGAACGCUGGCGGCGUGCUUAACACAUGCAAGUCGAACGGUGAAGCACCUUCCUUUUGGUGGGUGUGGAUGAGUGGCGAACGGGUGAGUAACACGUGAGUAACCUGCCCCCUUCUUCUGGAUAACCGCAUGAAAGUGUGGCUAAUACGGGAUAUUCUGGGUCUGUCGCAUGGCGGGCCUGGGAAAGAUAUUGUUUCGGUGGGGGAUGGGCUCGCGGUCUAUCAGCUUGUUGGUGGGGUGAUGGCCUACCAAGGCGGUGACGGGUAGCCGGCCUGAGAGGGUGGACGGUCACACUGGGACUGAGACACGGCCCAGACUCCUACGGGAGGCAGCAGUGGGGAAUAUUGCACAAUGGGCGAAAGCCUGAUGCAGCGACGCCGCGUGAGGGAUGGAGGCCUUCGGGUUGUAAACCUCUUUCGCCAGUGAAGCAGGCCUGUCCCUUUUGUGGGUGGGUUGACGGUAGCUGGAUAAGAAGCGCCGGCUAACUACGUG